ACGGGAGGCAGCAGUGGGGAAUAUUGCACAAUGGGGGAAACCCUGAUGCAGCGACGCCGCGUGGAGGAAGAAGGUCUUCGGAUUGUAAACUCCUGUUGUUGAGGCGGUACUCAACAAGGAAGUGACGGCUAACUACGUGCCAGCAGCCGCGGUAAAACGUAGGUCACAAGCGUUGUCCGGAAUUACUGGGUGUAAAGGGAGCGCAGGCGGGAGACAAGUUGGAAGUGAAAUCCAUGGGCUCAACCCAUGAACUGCUUUCAAAACUUUUUUCUUGAGUAGUGCAGAGGUAGGCGGAAUUCCCGGUGUAGCGGUGGAAUGCGUAGAUAUCGGGAGGAACACCAGUGGCGAAGGCGGCCUACUGGGCACCAACUGACGCUGAGGCUCGAAAGUGUGGGUAGCAAACAGGAUUAGAUACCCUGGUAGUCCACACCGUAAACGAUGAUUACUAGGUGUUGGACAGUGCCGCAGUUAACACAAUAAGUAAUCCACCUGGGGAGUACGACCGCAAGGUUGAAACUCAAAGGAAUUGACGG
rnacentral:rRNA from 1 species